UGUCGAUACCUGUCCAAAACAGAACGACCCGCGAAUCAACGAUCACCACUCUCGGUGGGCCGGUUUCUUAACCGAUCCCGUGCUCGCCGGAUCCGUGGUUUCGCGUAUCGCCUUGAUCGGGAGCUUUAUCUCGGUCUUGUCGUGCGCGUUGCUUCCGGAUAUCACAAAACCCCGGCACGAAAAGUGUCAAGGAACAAGCAAACGAACGGCUGGCAUUCGCCUCCCCGGAGACGGUGUGUGCGCGGAUGCUAUGCUGCGAUAUAAAGUCUAAAACGACUCUCGGCAACGGAUAUCUCGGCUCUCGCAUCGAUGAAGAACGUAGCGAAAUGCGAUACUUGGUGUGAAUUGCAGAAUCCCGUGAACCAUCGAGUCUUUGAACGCAAGUUGCGCCCCAAGCCUUCUGGCCGAGGGCACGUCUGCCUGGGUGUCACAAAUCGUCGUCCCCCAUAUUCCUUUGCGAAUGCGGGACGGAAGCUGGUCUCCCGUGUGUUACCGCAUGCGGUUGGCCUAAAUCCGAGCCAAGGACGCCCGGAGCGUCCCGACAUGCGGUGGUGAACAUGAUCCAUUUCAUAUUGUCGGUCGCUCCUGUCCGGAAGCUGUAGAUGACCCAAAGUCCUUUAAGCGACCCCAGGUCAGGCGGGAUUACCC
rnacentral:misc_RNA from 1 species